rnacentral:misc_RNA from 1 species
GGAAGUUUCAUAAGUGUAUCUAUCCCACCAAAAUUGCUAUGUCCAAUAAUCAGGAUGAUUUUCUACUCAUAAAAUUCUCUUGUAUUUAGUAAUCAAAAGAAAAAAGGAAUUGGAAAGCAGAAUAAAUUAUUGGGUUAGUAUCCAAAUUGUAUUGAUUAAUGAACAAAUUUUGAUUUGAUGGUGGAUAUAUAAGCUUACUUUUAAAUAUUUCACAGCAUAUUC